rnacentral:rRNA from 1 species
UAGGGAAUCUUCGGCAAUGGACGAAAGUCUGACCGAGCAACGCCGCGUGAGUGGAGAAGGUUUUCGGAUCGUAAAACUCUGUUGGUAGAGAAGAACGUUGGUGAGAGUGGAAAGCUCAUCAAGUGACGGUAACUACCCAGAAAGGGACGGCUAACUACGUACCAG